rnacentral:tRNA from 1 species
GCCUCGGUAGUGUAAUCGAUCAGCACGACAGAUCGGAUAUCUGUAAGUGCGGGUUCAAGUCCCGCCUGAUGUU